UUAGUCUCACCCAAUUUCUGUUCCACAAAAUCCGGUUUCUACUUCCCAUAUUCCAUGAAAUCGGUUUCUACACCUAUAUCUCCCAUGAUCCCACGUUCAUCACUCCCAUUCAGUCAAUCAACAUCUUUUUAUUUCAACCAAUUUCACAAUUAUCACAAUCCUUUUCACCACUUCCGUAGUUGUGAAGAAACAGAGAAAAACGAGAGAGAGUUAGAAAAGAGAGGGGGGGGGCGGCAGUGGUGCAGUGUUGAGAAGCAGGCUGCGCAAGCUCCAGCAGCGAGGACGGCGGCGUGGUUCCGAACGGAGCGAUAGUGGCGGCAGCAGCGCGAACCGGAGGAGAUGUCUGACCGAGGGCAGCGCUGCAGCGAAAUUCGUCGCACAGCAGACACGGUGGCGGUGACUGCUCAGUGGCGGCGGCCAACGGACAACAGCGGCUUAACAGCGAGCCGAACCAGUGAGGGUAGCGGCGAUGGCUGCUCGGAACAGCGACGGUGAUGGCUGCUAGGUACAUCAGCUGCGUCGUGACAGAGGGCGGACACCCGGUGGCGAAUUGAGGUCGGAGAUAGCGGAGUGAGAUACAACCAUGGCUGUUGUUUCAGAAAGCAACUCGGAGGGAGGCGAUGGAUUUGAUGUCGCUCAAUUUUGGGUUUCUGCAUUUGGGGAUUUCUCAAUUUGGGGAGGAAAAAGAAGAUAGACCGAUGGUGGAGAAGGGAGUAUGUGGUUUUGUUUUCAAAAAUUGAUUGGGCUACUAAUUGGGCUCACAAAUUAAUUUGAAGACCUAUAGUUGGGCUGGGUGAGUAAGGAAGAAAUAAGGGUCUUGGGCUGAUUUUUUUUGGUUUUGGAUCAAUUAAUUGCAGAUUUAGAAUUUUAUUCCACCGGGGACUAGUGUGGCCAAUGGAAAUGGGAGUAUAUCUUGGGGCUGCUACUUUUUAUACUUUUUGGUUCAAGUAAUAGCAUAAAUGGAAGUGUUGGGUUGGGUUUUUUUUUUAGUUGAUUGACCAGUUGUGAAGGAGAGGAAAUCUUGGGCUGGAGAAUUUUAUAUCAAGGAUUUCGAAUCGGCACGUGUUUUAAGUUAAUUGGGCAAGCUGGAUAUGUGAUGCGGGCUAAAUUUAUGAGUAACACGCGAGGUUUUCUGAAUUUUUUUUCAAGAAAGAUCGAAGGGGGAUCAUUUUUUGGCAUGCUAUUUGAGAACGGAAUGGAAAGACAAGUUGAGGAGUUAAACAAUUGAGCAUUGUUAUCUUCCUGUCUGAUAUGUCUGGAAGAUCGCCAUUGUACAAAAAGUAUGUCAAAUGUUUUAUUCUUUCUUUCGUAGGUGUUCCUCUACAUUUUUAUGGAAUAGUUUUUACAUUUCCUGAGUUAUAUGAGGCUAUUGUUAUAGAAAAUAAUUGGGCUCAUCAUCUCUUUGUUUCCUAUACUUUUUUAUCUUUUUUCUGCCGUUGGGGCCUUUGUCUUCUUCGGUUCACCUGUUUCCCGCGAAUUGGUUGCCCAAAUAAAGAAGGAUGGAAGUGUGUUACCUCGCAUUGGUGCCUUAAGAGAGAUGAACUUGGAAUAUUUCGCAAUAGAUAGCCAGGGUUUCAUCACUGACAAUGAGAGAGCACUUGAGGAUCUCUUCGGGGACGAAGAAAGCUCUCGCAGAGGUGAUGCAUGUGAUGGGGACACGAAUAGCUACAGUGCUUGCUUCUUUGAGGGAUUUUCCAAAUGUGCGUUACCGUGCUGCUAAGUCCCUUGCUACAAUGACUACUUUUCGUGAUCUAAUUCCUACAAAGCUUGCUGCUUCUGUUUGGAAUAAUCUGAUGAAAUACAAAGCCAACCUUCCUAACUUUCCCCAAGCGGAGACAUGCGAGCUUCUUAUCUUAGAUAGAUCAGUAGACCAGGUAUGUAGUAUCAAUUCCAUGCCCACUCUCGAGAGUUCCACUGUAAUUUUUAUUGUAUAAUAUACUUGUAUUUCUUGCUCCAGUUAUACAUGAAUGGACAUAUGAUGCGAUAUGCCAUGAUUUACUAAAUAUGGAUGGAAAUAAAUACAUCCAUGAGGUAGUGUCUCUUAGA